UACAGGGGGUGCAAACGUUGCUCGGAAUUAUUGGGCGUAAAGAGCGUGUAGGCGGCCAGGUAGGUCUGCUGUGAAAACUCGAGGCUUAACCUCGAGCUGUCGGCGGAAACCAUCUGGCUAGAGUCCGGAAGAGGAGAAUGGAAUUCCCGGUGUAGCGGUGAAAUGCGCAGAUAUCGGGAAGAACACCCGUGGCGAAGGCGGUUCUCUGGGACGGUACUGACGCUGAGACGCGAAAGCGUGGGGAGCGAACAGG
rnacentral:rRNA from 1 species